AGAUUGAACGCUGGCGGCAGGCCUAACACAUGCAAGUCGAGCGGCAGCGGGUCCUUCGGGAUGCCGGCGAGCGGCGGACGGGUGAGGAACACGUGGGAAUCUACCUAUUGGUGGGGGAUAACUUGGGGAAACUCAAGGUAAUACCGCAUUAGCCCUACGGGGAAAGCAGGGGACCUUCGGGCCUUGCGCCGAUAGAUGAGCCCGCGUCGGAUUAGCUAGUUGGUAGGGUAAAGGCCUACCAAGGCGACGAUCCGUAGCUGGUCUGAGAGGAUGAUCAGCCACACUGGGACUGAGACACGGCCCAGACUCCUACGGAGGCAGCAGUGGGAAUAUUGGACAAUGGGGAACCUGAUCCAGCAUGCCGCGUGUGUGAAGAAGCUUAGGGUGUAAGCACUUUCGAGUGGGUAGGAAGGCUUCGU
rnacentral:rRNA from 1 species